rnacentral:rRNA from 1 species
GAUGAACGCUAGCGGCAGGCUUAACACAUGCAAGUCGAGGGGUAGAAGGAGCUUGCUCCUUUGAGACCGGCGCACGGGUGCGUAACGCGUAUGCAAUCUACCUUUUGCAGAGGGAUAGCCCAGAGAAAUUUGGAUUAAUACCUCAUAGUAUGUGAGGAUGGCAUCAUUUUCACAUUAAAGUCACAACGGCAAAAGAUGAGCAUGCGUCCCAUUAGCUAGUUGGUAAGGUAACGGCUUACCAAGGCUACGAUGGGUAGGUCCGUGAGAGGGAGAUCCCCCACACUGGUACUGAGACACGGACCAGACUCCUACGGGAGGCAGCAGUGAGGAAUAUUGGACAAUGGGCGCAAGCCUGAUCCAGCCA